UACGAAGGGGGCUAGCGUUGCUCGGAAUCACUGGGCGUAAAGGGUGCGUAGGCGGGUUUUUAAGUCAGGGGCGAAAUCCUGGAGCUCAACUCCAGAACUGCCUUUGAUACUGAAGAUCUUGAGUCCGGGAGAGGUGAGUGGAACUGCGAGUGUAGAGGUGAAAUUCGUAGAUAUUCGCAAGAACACCAGUGGCGAAGGCGGCUCACUGGCCCGGUACUGACGCUGAGGCACGAAAGCGAUGGGGAGCAAACAGG
rnacentral:rRNA from 1 species